GGGAAUGUAAGAGCAAGUGAGGGAGAGAAGGUGGAGAAAGAGAUAAUGUAUAACUUGUCAUAGAAAUUUGGCUCUUAAUGGGAAGGAAAGAGACUGGGCAGCCUUUGGGGUCUAGAGAGUUUACGUUUUCUUUUUUUCUUGCUGAGGUACUGUGGAUUGAACUUAGUGUCUUGCACAUGCUAGGCAAAUACUCUCCCACUGAGCCGCAUCCCCAGCCCUUUUUAUUUUUUGAGACAAGAUCUUGUUAAGUUGCCCAGACUGGCUUCAAACAUGAGAUCCUCCUGCCUCAGCUUCCCCAGUGGCUGAGAUUACAGGGAUAGCCUGUAAGUGGCUGUGGAGAAGGCUUACUUUUAAAAGUAUCAAUUAAAGUUAAUCAUGCACCUACCCCAUGAUCCAGAGAUUCUCCUCCUGGGUGCUUGCCCUUAUCCUGAGAUAAAUGCAUGGAUCUAUGGAAAGACUUGUCCAAGGGUGUUCAUGGUUGCUUUAUUCAUGAUAGUCUCAAUGUAGAAAUAACCCUCAUAUCCAACAAGAAACACAUGUUGGAGCAGUCCUGCCAUGGACUACUGCUAGCAACAAGAACUAAUGAAGCACUGAUAUACAGCAGCAGUGUGAUGAUACUGAACAACAGUGAAGAGGCCCAGCCUGAGUAUGCCCUGUAUGGACCAGCCUGGAUCAGACAACAGGAGGCCACGGGGCAGAAACAGACCCUGCAGGGUGGCGCUGAUGUGGGUGCUGCACCCUGUUGGGUAUGGACUUCGGCUGCACACAUUUGCCAGACCUUGCAGAAGUCACAUUUAAAAUGCACGCAUCUGAGUUUAUUGUUCUCCACUGAUAAACCCAGAUCCCAGGAGGGAGUCUCACCUAAGGGACUGGGUCCAAGUUCCUGUGAUACGCUUCUCUUUCAAGGACGUCGGAGGGAUUUUGGCAGGGUGCACAGUGACCUGACUCCCUGUCAGUCCCGUAGCCAGGUGUUUGCAGGUGCCUGAGUUCUGGACAAUAGAAUCAAAGGAAGCAGUUUCAGGGGAGUGUUUUAAAACAGAAAG
rnacentral:lncRNA from 1 species